GCGCGAUGAAUACUUUACCAUCUUUCGGGGCAUAUUAACCCUUGCUGAUAAUAUACACUUCUACUGAGCGUU
rnacentral:snoRNA from 1 species